AGCACUCACACAAACUGAAGGGCCCGGUCUCACUCCUACCGUGCCCCCCACAACAGCCCUGAGUCUGUUUCCAGGUGGUGGGCGAGAGGGGUUUGAAAAUUUGCCCCAGGCUAUCCGCCUCCCAGCUGGGCAAGAAAAGGGCGUGGUUGUUCCCCCACUGAGGAGUCUGCACACCGGAUUUGCAUCUUCCCCUGAGUUCUGGCCUGGAGGCUUCUCGCCCCUGCAAAUUGUUACAAAGUUCAGCUAGAGGGUUCCUUCUUCCUGUGGAGUUUUACCUUCUGCUCCUCUGGCCACCCUCCUGAUGGAUCCCUGUGGUGCCAGGCAGGAAUGACCUGCUUAAGGACCCAGCGAGCUCCCAGGACCUUUCUGCUGCUUCCUCUACCCGUAUAUUUUGCUUGCUUCUCUACAUUGACUCAGCUCCAGCGAUUCCUGAGGAAUCUCAUCCACACUACCCUAUGGACUAAAAGGAAAAGCUCUUCAUGUGGUGUUAGCACGGAGAUGAGAAAGAGAGAAAGACAACAUCAUGCUUUGCUGUCUGUGUGUGAACUGAGUAACAGCUGUGAAGGAUCAGUCACCAAAAGACUUUGAAAGAAGAGGCUUGAUUGGUCACGGUAAUGAUGCUCCCCUGGUUGUUUCCGUAUUUUGGCUAUUGUGAAUAGUGCUGCAAUAAACAUGGAAGUGCUGAUAUAUCUUUGAGAUCUUGACUUCAAACAAAAGAAGAAAAUCUUGCAAUAUAUGACAACACGGAUUAACCUGGAGGACAUUGUGCUUAGUGAAGUUAGCCAGUCACAGACUGACAAGUACUGCACGAUUCCACUUAUGAAGACUACAGUUCCUAUCUUCACAGGUGGCUGUUAGCUCUAAAUGAACUCAUUUAUUUUGAAAGCAUGAUUUAAAGUAUAGUUUUAAACUAUAAGCAUUUCAGAAGUGAUGACCCAUGACUCAAAUCUCAAAAAUAAAUGCUACAGUUCACAGUUGGAAUAUGGACACAAGAAAAAUAAUAGAUGAUGCCACUGAAAGGUAAACAUACCAUUCUGACAUGCAUGAAAAUGAAACGACAAAUUGAUACACGCAGUGCUUGGAAUGGAUGGAGUCCUUCUAAUGAGUGAUUACCUGUGGUAUAACUAUAUUGAUUGUGUUUGUACAUGUCAAAUGGGGCUGGCGAGGAUGAACUUGAAGAAAUCAAUCUUGGAACCUGCUAGGACAGCAGCCUCCUGGUUUCACAGUACUAAAUCAUGACUUCAAAAUUUUGAAGUAAAAGAAAACUGCAAAACUUUGUAAAGGUACCAGUCUCUUCCUGACACUAUUUGCCUUGGCAAAAGAUUCACUGUCAACUUAAAAGACUAACAUGUGCUCAGAUGAUGAUUUGUGGAGGACAGAUAAUUAUGAGUACAUUUAGAAAUACACACUCUUCCAAACCCUGCUCUUUCCAUAUAAUGAAGUUAUUUAUUUCUAUUUUUUAUUUAUUUUUCUAAUAAUUACAAACAUACUUUGGAGACCCACAUUCCUGUAUUAUUCUUUCAACAUACUGAAGAAGAGUUAUUUCUAUGCUUCUUUCUAUGUGUUGGGCUUAAGAUUUAUUAGAAGGAAUGUGUAAAAACAAAGGCAGCAAAGUUUCUAUUUUUAUUGGGAGUCACUCCCGGAGUAAGUGGGGAUAGUUGUGCACACACACACACACACAUUCAUGCACAAAGAAAGAGUGAUCAAGUGUAUAACACACUUUUAGCAGUGUUUUGCUGGAAGAAUAAAGUAUAACUCCUUGUCCGCCCUUUUAUUAUACUGGGGUUCACACUAAGAGAGUCUGAGGACCUGUGGAACUCCCAUUUGCAUGAAAUAACUUUUGCAUCUAUUCUGGAGGAAAACUUCCUAAGGCAGAUUUGGACAGAAAAUUGCUAUCAGCGCAAAUAAAACAAUGCAAAGCCUACUCCGGGGAACGUUGCUCUGCCACCACUACUGAAAUGGGUCAUCCCCUUGGUUUCUGAAUAAAGAAUUAUGAAACCUGGGGCUAGAAUGCUCAGGGAGGAAUUUACCAAUCCAAAUCUUCCCCUUAUGGUAGAGAACAAACUUUCAAGGUUUGUUCUCCACUGUAAGUGUGCGAGGGCUGUUAGGGACCGUAAUAUGGCUGCCGGAGACUGGUGUGUGUACCUCCUUGACUGUACGUCUCAUUUCCAGUUAUGAUUUUACAAUCAUCUCUUUCUCAACCUUUGCUUUUAAAUAUAGGAAGGUACGGCUCACCAUGGAGCGGACAUUUUCUUCAGGAGCGGUACGGUGUCUAAGAUAUGCAGAGGUUGUAUUCUAGUCCUAUAACUCAAUUCUCAAACACAUGGCUUUUAGCCAGGGAUAUCCUAAAGGAAAAUUACACUAUAUGCAACCCCUCCUUACUCCUCAAAUAUUAUCUAUAUUAAACACAGCUGAAAUUUGAGAGUGUCCUUACAGGUGAAAAUUUAACAAUUUAACAAAAGGACACUGCUGAAUGUGUGGGGACAAAGGAAGGAUGAAUCUUUCAUCAUGACAAAAGACUACUUGCCACAUUCUCCCUUAACUUAGAAAAACAGAAAAGAGGCUGGGCGUGGUGGCUCCUGCCUGUAACCUCAGCACUUUGGGAGGCUGAGAUGGGUGGAUCAUUUGAGGUCAGGAGUUCGAGACCAGCCUGGCCAACAUGGUGAAACCCCGCCUCUACUAAAAAAUUCAAAAACUAGCCAGGCAUGGUGGCGGGUGCCUGUAGUUCCAGCUACUCAGGAGGCUGAGGCAGGAGAAUCUCCUGAACCCAGGAGGCGGAGGUUGCAGUGAGUCGAGAUCACACCACUGCACUCCAGCAACAGAGCAAGGCUCUGUCUGUCUCAAAA
rnacentral:lncRNA from 1 species